ACGCACACACGCGCGGCAUAUCAAUAAGCGGAGGAAAAGGUUGCAGGAACUGAACGACCGCUACCUACGCUUAGGAUGUUGACACACGCGCGUGCUCGAGUCUAUACAUGACUCUGUGCAUAUCAAUAAGCGGAGGAAAAGAAACUAACUAAGGAUUCCCUUAGUAACGGCGAGUGAAGCGGGAAGAGCUCAAAUUUGAAAUCUUAAAGGGUUUUCCCUUGACGAAUUGUAGUUUAAAGAAGUGUUUUCUGUUGAAGUUUUCGGUAAAAGUUCUUUGGAAUAGGACAUCAUAGAGGGUGAGAAUCCCGUAUUUGACCGUUACUUUCCAGCUGUGUGAUACACUUUCAAAGAGUCGGAUUGUUUGGGAAUGCAGUCCAAAAUGGGUGGUAAAUUUCAUCUAAAGCUAAAUAUUGGCGAGAGACCGAUAGCGAACAAGUACCGUGAGGGAAAGAUGAAAAGAACUUUGAAAAGAGAGUUAAACAGUACGUGAAAUUGUCAAAAGGGAAGCGUUUGACACCAGUGUUGUUUAGUUGAAAAUCAAUUAAAUAAUUUUUGAUUUUAAGUAGUAUUGACUUCAUCAGCUUGCUGCUUUCUUUUCUGAAAUUAUUUAAUGCACUUUUCAGUUAACAAGUCAACAUCAAUUUCUUUUGUUGUAAAAGGGUAAGAGGAAGGUGGCUUGCGCUUCGGCUCAAGUGUUUAUAGCCUUUUACCUCUGCAAUCGGAGAGAUUGAGGUCUGCAGCGUAGAUCCUUCGGGGUUAGAUACAUUUGUGCUAAGCUAUAGCCUUGUAUAGACAACUUGUUGACUAUGCUCAGUCAUGUAGCUUACUCGCUUAUGCUAUUUUACCUACGCUUAGGAUGUUGAACUCUAUCACACACAG
rnacentral:rRNA from 1 species